rnacentral:rRNA from 1 species
GAUGAACGCUGGCGGCGUGCCUAACACAUGCAAGUCGAGCGAUCUUCUUCGGAAGAGAGCGGCGGACGGGUGAGUAACGCGUGGGUAACCUGCCCUGUACACACGGAUAACAUACCGAAAGGUAUGCUAAUACGGGAUAACAUAAGAAAGUCGCAUGGCUUUCUUAUCAAAGCUUUUGCGGUACAGGAUGGACCCGCGUCUGAUUAGCUAGUUGGUAAGGUAACGGCUUACCAAGGCGACGAUCAGUAGCCGACCUGAGAGGGUGAUCGGCCACAUUGGAACUGAGACACGGUCCAAACUCCUACGGGAGGCAGCAGUGGGGAAUAUUGCACAAUGGGCGAAAGCCUGAUGCAGCAACGCCGCGUGAGCGAUGAAGGCCUUCGAGUCGUAAAGCUCUGUCCUCAAGGAAGAUAAUGACGGUACUUGAGGAGGAAGCCCCGGCUAACUACGUGCCAGCAGCCGCGGUAAUACGUAGGGGGCUAGCGUUAUCCGGAAUUACUGGGCGUAAAGGGUGCGUAGGCGGUCUUUCAAGUCAGAAGUGAAAGGCUACGGCUCAACCGUAGUAAGCUUUUGAAACUGUAAGACUUGAGUGCAGGAGAGGAGAGUGGAAUUCCUAGUGUAGCGGUGAAAUGCGUAGAUAUUAGGAGGAACACCAGUUGCGAAGGCGGCUCUCUGGACUGUAACUGACGCUGAGGCACGAAAGCGUGGGGAGCAAACAGG